rnacentral:rRNA from 1 species
UUUGACGUCUAGGCGGAUUGAGAGAUUGACCGCCAACACUGGGACUGAGACACUGCCCAGACUUCUACGGAAGGCUGCAGUCGAGAAUCUUUCGCAAUGGACGAAAGUCUGACGAAGCGACGCCGCGUGUGUGAUGAAGGCUCUAGGGUUGUAAAGCACUUUCGCUUGGGAAUAAGAGAGAUUGGCUAAUAUCCAAUCGAUUUGAGCGUACCAGGUAAAGAAGCACCGGCUAACUCCGUGCCAGCAGCUGCGGUAAUACGGAGGGUGCUAGCGUUAAUCGGAUUUAUUGGGCGUAAAGGGCGUGUAGGCGGAAAGGAAAGUUAGAUGUUAAAUCUUGGGGCUCAACCCCAAGCCAGCAUCUAAUACUAUCUUUCUAGAGGGUAGAUGGAGAAAAGGGAAUUCCACGUGUAGCGGUGAAAUGCGUAGAUAUGUGGAAGAACACCAGUGGCGAAGGCGCUUUUCUAAUUUACACCUGACGCUAAGGCGCGAAAGCAAGGGGAGCAAACAGGAUUAGAUACCCUGGUAGUCCUUGCCGUAAACGAUGCAUACUUGAUGUGGAUAGUCUCAACCCUAUCCGUGUCGUAGCUAACGCGUUAAGUAUGCCGCCUGAGGAAUACACUCGCAAGGGUGAAACUCAAAAGAAUUGACGGGGGCCCGCACAAGCAGUGGAGCAUGUGGUUUAAUUCGAUGCAACGCGAAGAACCUUACCUGGGCUUGACAUGUAUUUGACCGCGGCAGAAAUGUCGUUUUCCGCAAGGACAGAUACACAGGUGCUGCAUGGCUGUCGUCAGCUCGUGCCGUGAGGUGUUGGGUUAAGUCCCGCAACGAGCGCAACCCUUAUCGUUAGUUGCCAACACUUAGGGUGGGAACUCUAAUGAGACUGCCUGGGUUAACCAGGAGGAAGGCGAGGAUGACGUCAAGUCAGCAUGGCCCUUAUGCCCAGGGCUACACACGUGCUACAAUGGCCAGUACAGAAGGUAGCAAUAUCGCAGAUG